rnacentral:rRNA from 1 species
GGUUAAGCGACUAAGCGUACACGGUGGAUGCCCUGGCAGUCAGAGGCGAUGAAGGACGUGCUAAUCUGCGAUAAGCGCCGGUAAGGUGAUAUGAACCGUUAUAACCGGCGAUUUCCGAAUGGGGAAACCCAGUGUGACUCGUCACACUAUCAUUAACUGAAUCCAUAGGUUAAUGAGGCGAACCGGGGGAACUGAAACAUCUAAGUACCCCGAGGAAAAGAAAUCAACCGAGAUUCCCCCAGUAGCGGCGAGCGAACGGGGAGGAGCCCAGAGCCUGAAUCAGCAUGUGUGUUAGUGGAAGCGUCUGGAAAGGCGCGCGAUACAGGGUGACAGCCCCGUACACAAAAGCGCAUGUGCUGUGAGCUCGAUGAGUAGGGCGGGACACGUGGUAUCCUGUCUGAAUAUGGGGGGACCAUCCUCCAAGGCUAAAUACUCCUGACUGACCGAUAGUGAACCAGUACCGUGAGGGAAAGGCGAAAAGAACCCCGGCGAGGGGAGUGAAAAAGAACCUGAAACCGUGUACGUACAAGCAGUGGGAGCACAGGUUUACCUGUGUGACUGCGUACCUUUUGUAUAAUGGGUCAGCGACUUAUAUUCUGUAGCAAGGUUAACCGCAUAGGGGAGCCGCAGGGAAACCGAGUCUUAACCGGGCGUUAAGUUGCAGGGUAUAGACCCGAAACCCGGUGAUCUAGCCAUGGGCAGGUUGAAGGUUGGGUAACACUAACUGGAGGACCGAACCGACUAAUGUUGAAAAAUUAGCGGAUGACCUGUGGCUGGGGGUGAAAGGCCAAUCAAACCGGGAGAUAGCUGGUUCUCCCCGAAAGCUAUUUAGGUAGCGCCUCGUGAAUUCAUCUCCGGGGGUAGAGCACUGUUUCGGCUAGGGGGCCAUCCCGGCUUACCAACCCGAUGCAAACUGCGAAUACCGGAGAAUGUUAUCACGGGAGACACACGGCGGGUGCUAACGUCCGUCGUGAAGAGGGAAACAACCCAGACCGCCAGCUAAGGUCCCAAAGUCAUGGUUAAGUGGGAAACGAUGUGGGAAGGCCCAGACAGCCAGGAUGUUGGCUUAGAAGCAGCCAUCAUUUAAAGAAAGCGUAAUAGCUCACUGGUCGAGUCGGCCUGCGCGGAAGAUGUAACGGGGCUAAACCAUGCACCGAAGCUGCGGCAGCGAACGUAUCACCCAAGACAACUUUGCGGAGUUGACGAUUGACGGAGCGAAGCGACGUCAAAGCGUUCAUUAAAGUCGAGUUGGCUUAGGGAUACGUUCGUUGGGUAGGGGAGCGUUCUGUAAGCCUGUGAAGGUAUGCUGUGAGGCAUGCUGGAGGUAUCAGAAGUGCGAAUGCUGACAUAAGUAACGAUAAAGCGGGUGAAAAGCCCGCUCGCCGGAAGACCAAGGGUUCCUGUCCAACGUUAAUCGGGGCAGGGUGAGUCGACCCCUAAGGCGAGGCCGAAAGGCGUAGUCGAUGGGAAACGGGUUAAUAUUCCCGUACUUGGUGUUACUGCGAAGGGGGGACGGAGAAGGCUAUGUUGGCCGGGCGACGGUUGUCCCGGUUUAAGCGUGUAGGUGUGUGUUCCAGGUAAAUCCGGUUCACUUUAACACUGAGGCGUGACGACGAGGCACUACGGUGCUGAAGCAACAAAUGCCCUGCUUCCAGGAAAAGCCUCUAAGCAUCAGGUAACAUCAAAUCGUACCCCAAACCGACACAGGUGGUCAGGUAGAGAAUACCAAGGCGCUUGAGAGAACUCGGGUGAAGGAACUAGGCAAAAUGGUGCCGUAACUUCGGGAGAAGGCACGCUGACAUGUAGGUGAAGUGAUUUACUCAUGGAGCUGAAGUCAGUCGAAGAUACCAGCUGGCUGCAACUGUUUAUUAAAAACACAGCACUGUGCAAACACGAAAGUGGACGUAUACGGUGUGACGCCUGCCCGGUGCCGGAAGGUUAAUUGAUGGGGUCAGCGCAAGCGAAGCUCCUGAUCGAAGCCCCGGUAAACGGCGGCCGUAACUAUAACGGUCCUAAGGUAGCGAAAUUCCUUGUCGGGUAAGUUCCGACCUGCACGAAUGGCGUAAUGAUGGCCAGGCUGUCUCCACCCGAGACUCAGUGAAAUUGAACUCGCUGUGAAGAUGCAGUGUACCCGCGGCAAGACGGAAAGACCCCGUGAACCUUUACUAUAGCUUGACACUGAACAUUGAGCCUUGAUGUGUAGGAUAGGUGGGAGGCUUUGAAGUGUGGACGCCAGUCUGCAUGGAGCCGACCUUGAAAUACCACCCUUUAAUGUUUGAUGUUCUAACGUGGACCCGUAAUCCGGGUUGCGGACAGUGUCUGGUGGGUAGUUUGACUGGGGCGGUCUCCUCCUAAAGAGUAACGGAGGAGCACGAAGGUUGGCUAAUCCUGGUCGGACAUCAGGAGGUUAGUGCAAUGGCAUAAGCCAGCUUGACUGCGAGCGUGACGGCGCGAGCAGGUGCGAAAGCAGGUCAUAGUGAUCCGGUGGUUCUGAAUGGAAGGGCCAUCGCUCAACGGAUAAAAGGUACUCCGGGGAUAACAGGCUGAUACCGCCCAAGAGUUCAUAUCGACGGCGGUGUUUGGCACCUCGAUGUCGGCUCAUCACAUCCUGGGGCUGAAGUAGGUCCCAAGGGUAUGGCUGUUCGCCAUUUAAAGUGGUACGCGAGCUGGGUUUAGAACGUCGUGAGACAGUUCGGUCCCUAUCUGCCGUGGGCGCUGGAGAACUGAGGGGGGCUGCUCCUAGUACGAGAGGACCGGAGUGGACGCAUCACUGGUGUUCGGGUUGUCAUGCCAAUGGCACUGCCCGGUAGCUAAAUGCGGAAGAGAUAAGUGCUGAAAGCAUCUAAGCACGAAACUUGCCCCGAGAUGAGUUCUCCCUGAGACUUUAGGUCUCCUGAAGGAACGUUGAAGACGACGACGUUGAUAGGCCGGGUGUGUAAGCGCAGCGAUGCGUUGAGCUAACCGGUACUAAUGAACCGUGAGGCUUAACCUU